ACCUUGUUUAGUGUACAACACAACUCAAUCCCCAUUAAUUUUAGGAAAUGCAUUAACCCUUUUGCAGGAAACUGCAAACUAUCUUUCGACACAAGUAACAUUUUUUCUUGCUUUCUGUAUAAGUAGUAGGGGCUAUGUUGCAGCAACAGUAGGCUCUUGCUUUUCAAGAGACUACAUCGCAAUGAAAGCUCUCUCAACUGCCAUGGUUAUCCUAGUCGCCCUCACCCUGGCCUUCACCUCUGCCAUUUCAACAUUACUUCCGGAGCAUCGGUGUGUCAAAAGUCUGCAGUCCACCACAACAUGUGAUGCAUAUAGAUGUGAGCAAAAGUGUUCUACAAUGGCUUAUGGUCAUGGAAUAUGCAGUGACAGCAAUUGCAUAUGCACUUAUUUCUGCCCCCAGCCUCCCAAAUAGAGUCUUUCUUGUUUCCUAAUAUUCAGUUUCAUGUAUGAUUUGCAACAAUAAGAGAUUUCUUUCAAUCUCUUGUGUUUUUCAAGAAUUGUGUACACCUUUAUUUUUAUUGGAGAUUGGAGAACACAUUGUUGGAUUUAUUA